UACGUAGGGUGCAAGCGUUGUCCGGAAUUAUUGGGCGUAAAGAGCUCGUAGGCGGUUCGUCGCGUCGGCUGUGAAAACCUGAGGCUCAACCUCAGGCCUGCAGUCGAUACGGGCGGACUUGAGUACUGCAGGGGAGACUGGAAUUCCUGGUGUAGCGGUGAAAUGCGCAGAUAUCGGGAAGAACACCCGUGGCGAAGGCGGUUCUCUGGGACGGUACUGACGCUGAGACGCGAAAGCGUGGGGAGCGAACAGG
rnacentral:rRNA from 1 species